UACGAAGGGUGCAAGCGUUAAUCGGAAUUACUGGGCGUAAAGCGCGCGUAGGUGGUUCAGUAAGUUGGAAGUGAAAUCCCCGGGCUCAACCUGGGAACUGCUUUCAAAACUGCUGAGCUAGAGUACGGGAGAGGGUGGUGGAAUUUCCUGUGUAGCGGUGAAAUGCGUAGAUAUAGGAAGGAACACCAGUGGCGAAGGCGACCACCUGGACUGAUACUGACACUGAGGUGCGAAAGCGUGGGGAGCAAACAGG
rnacentral:rRNA from 1 species